GAUGAACGCUGGCGGCGUGCCUAAUACAUGCAAGCCGAGCGAACAGAUGAGGAGCUUGCUCCUCUGACGUUAGCGGCGGACGGGUGAGUAACACGUGGAUAACCUACCUAUAAGACUGGGAUAACUUCGGGAAACCGGAGCUAAUACCGGAUAAUAUAUUGAACCGCAUGGUUCAAUAGUGAAAGACGGUUUUGCUGUCACUUAUAGAUGGAUCCGCGCCGCAUUAGCUAGUUGGUAAGGUAACGGCUUACCAAGGCAACGAUGCGUAGCCGACCUGAGAGGGUGAUUGGCCACACUGGAACUGAGACACGGUCCAGACUCCUACGGGAGGCAGCAGUAGGGAAUCUUCCGCAAUGGGCGAAAGCCUGACGGAGCAACGCCGCGUGAGUGAUGAAGGUCUUCGGAUCGUAAAACUCUGUUAUUAGGGAAGAACAAAUGUGUAAGUAACUAUGCACGUCUUGACGGUACCUAAUCAGAAAGCCACGGCUAACUACGUG
rnacentral:rRNA from 1 species